UUUUCGGACUAGAGACCGGCGCACGGGUGCGUAACGCGUAUGCAAUCUACCUUUUACAGAGGGAUAGCCCAGAGAAAUUUGGAUUAAUACCUCAUAGUAUAAUGACUCGGCAUCGAGAUAUUAUUAAAGUCACAACGGUAAAAGAUGAGCAUGCGUCCCAUUAGCUAGUUGGUAAGGUAACGGCUUACCAAGGCUACGAUGGGUAGGGGUCCUGAGAGGGAGAUCCCCCACACUGGUACUGAGACACGGACCAGACUCCUACGGGAGGCAGCAGUGAGGAAUAUUGGACAAUGGGCGCAAGCCUGAUCCAGCCAUGCCGCGUGCAGGAUGACGGUCCUAUGGAUUGUAAACUGCUUUUAUACGAGAAGAAACACUGCUUCGUGAAGCAGCUUGACGGUAUCGUAAGAAUAAGGAUCGGCUAACUCCGUGCCAGCAGCCGCGGUAAUACGGAGGAUCCAAGCGUUAUCCGGAAUCAUUGGGUUUAAAGGGUCCGUAGGCGGUUUAAUAAGUCAGUGGUGAAAGCCCAUCGCUCAACGGUGGAACGGCCAUUGAUACUGUUAAACUUGAAUUAUUAGGAAGUAACUAGAAUAUGUAGUGUAGCGGUGAAAUGCUUAGAGAUUACAUGGAAUACCAAUUGCGAAGGCAGGUUACUACUAAUGGAUUGACGCUGAUGGACGAAAGCGUGGGUAGCGAACAGGAUUAGAUACCCUGGUAGUCCACGCCGUANACGAUGGAUACUAGCUGUUGGGUGCAAACUCAGUGGCUAAGCGAAAGUGAUAAGUAUCCCACCUGGGGAGUACGUUCGCAAGAAUGAAACUCAAAGGAAUUGACGGGGGCCCGCACAAGCG
rnacentral:rRNA from 1 species